rnacentral:rRNA from 1 species
CAGUAGCCGCGGUAAUACGUAUGGUGCAAUCGUUAAUCGGAAUUACUGGGCGUAAAGCGUGCGCAGGCGGUUAUAUAAGACAGAUGUGAAAUCCCCGGGCUCAACCUGUGAACUGCAUUUGUGACUGUAUAGCUAGAGUACGGCAGAGGGGGAUGGAAUUCCGCGUGUAGCAGUGAAAUGCGUAGAUAUGCGGAGGAACACCGAUGGCGAAGGCAAUCCCCUGGGCCUGUACUGACGCUCAUGCACGAAAGCGUGGGGAGCAAACAGGAUUAGAUACCCCCGUAGUCCCUGUCUCUUAUAC